rnacentral:rRNA from 1 species
UACGGGGGGGGGGCAAGCGUUGUUCGGAAUUACUGGGCGUAAAGCGCGCGCAGGCGGUCCUUUAAGUCUGAUGUGAAAGCCCACGGCUCAACCGUGGAGGGUCAUUGGAAACUGGGGGGACUUGAGUGCAGAAGAGGAGAGUGGAAUUCCACGUGUAGCGGUGAAAUGCGUAGAGAUGUGGAGGAACACCAGUGGCGAAGGCGACUCUCUGGUCUGUAACUGACGCUGAGGCGCGAAAGCGUGGGGAGCGAACAGG